rnacentral:other from 1 species
GCUAACCUGCGGGGUUCGAUAGGGAUGGUAUAAGCUAUUUCUGGGCUAUAUACAUCAGAAAGGGAGCUCGACAUCCUGUAGAUCCCGUGGGACUACAGUGGGAGCACCCACCUAUUGGGUAAGCGCCCAAGAACAAGGCUACCAAUCCCGUCGGCCUUCGUGGGGGCCUU